UUAUGCCAAUACAUUUAUAAGAAGCUUUAAUUAUUUAACCGUAAGGUAAUGUUGGCGACACUGCGUCACUUGUUUACAAAAGUUCAAAAAAUUUGUUGUGCUGAUUCUCAAUUCCCAUGAUAUCCGGGAAAUCCACAACAAAAAUAACGAAUAACCGAAAUUUUAAUUGUGAAUGAAAUCAAUGACAAGGGUCAAGAUCAUAGGCAUGAUCCAAUUAUUUACCAUUCCUGCUUUUAAUUCCAUUUUAUUUUGUCCUUGGGGUGAAUAAAACAGACGCAUAACUUA